AAAUACAAUUUUUUUCUGAAGUUUUUUUUUUUGUUAUUGUUGCUUUUGUUUAUUGUUUGUAAUAGGAGGAAGCAACAAAGACAGUAACUGGACAACAAGAAAAUGAUAUUGGCAUUAUUGAACAAGCUCCACAAGAUCAAACAAAUAAGAUACCCACAUCAGAAUCAGGACAAAAAGAAGAUACAAAAUCAUCUUCAGAUUCUGAGAUUAUCUCUGUGAGUGAUACACAGAAUUAUGUGUGUUUACCUGAGGCUACAUAUCAAAAAGAAAUAAAGACAAUAAAUGGCAAAAUAGAAGAGUCUACUGAAAAGCCCUCUGACUUUGAGCCUGCCAUUGAAAUGCAAAACUCUGUUCCAAAUAAAGCUUUAGAAUGGAGGAAUAAACAAACAUUGAGAGCAGGUAAU